UCGUUAUCGAGAAGACGAGAGGCUCUAAGGAUGUCCUCGGUAGUCAUAGACGCAAGUUGGUCGUCUUCGAUGCUCGUAUCCUCCACCAUUGCCGUCGCCAUCGGGGAUUUAUCGAUUACGCUAAACCAACACCGAAGUAAAGGAGCUUAGAAAGCUAAAAGAGAGAAUCAAUUGGAGAAAAAGAAAAUUGAAAUGGAGAGCUUGAUGAAAUCGUUUUUGAUCUUCGUUUCAUUAGCGGAAAUGGUAUCCGCAUCAACAUUUUUUUUUUAUAAGAGGGUAUCUUCAAC
rnacentral:misc_RNA from 1 species